UAAGAGCUUGCUCUUAUGAAGUUAGCGGCGGACGGGUGAGUAACACGUGGGUAACCUGCCCAUAAGACUGGGAUAACUCCGGGAAACCGGGGCUAAUACCGGAUAACAUUUUGAACCGCAUGGUUCGAAAUUGAAAGGCGGCUUCGGCUGUCACUUAUGGAUGGACCCGCGUCGCAUUAGCUAGUUGGUGAGGUAACGGCUCACCAAGGCAACGAUGCGUAGCCGACCUGAGAGGGUGAUCGGCCACACUGGGACUGAGACACGGCCCAGACUCCUACGGGAGGCAGCAGUAGGGAAUCUUCCGCAAUGGACGAAAGUCUGACGGAGCAACGCCGCGUGAGUGAUGAAGGCUUUCGGGUCGUAAAACUCUGUUGUUAGGGAAGAACAAGUGCUAGUUGAAUAAGCUGGCACCUUGACGGUACCUAACCAGAAAGCCACGGCUAACUACGUGCCAGCAGCCGCGGUAAUACGUAGGUGGCAAGCGUUAUCCGGAAUUAUUGGGCGUAAAGCGCGCGCAGGUGGUUUCUUAAGUCUGAUGUGAAAGCCCACGGCUCAACCGUGGAGGGUCAUUGGAAACUGGGAGACUUGAGUGCAGAAGAGGAAAGUGGAAUUCCAUGUGUAGCGGUGAAAUGCGUAGAGAUAUGGAGGAACACCAGUGGCGAAGGCGACUUUCUGGUCUGUAACUGACACUGAGGCGCGAAAGCGUGGGGAGCAAACAGGAUUAGAUACCCUGGUAGUCCACGCCGUAAACGAUGAGUGCUAAGUGUUAGAGGGUUUCCGCCCUUUAGUGCUGAAGUUAACGCAUUAAGCACUCCGCCUGGGGAGUACGGCCGCAAGGCUGAAACUCAAAGGAAUUGACGGGGGCCCGCACAAGCGGUGGAGCAUGGUGGUUUAAUUCGAAGCAACGCGAAGAACCUUACCAGGUCUUGACAUCCUCUGACAACCCUAGAGAUAGGGCUUUUCCUUCGGGAGCAGAGUGACAGGUGGUGCAUGGUUGUUGUCAGCUUGUGUUGUGAGAUGUUGGGUUAAGUCCCGCAACGAGCGCAACCCUUGAUUUUAGUUGCCAUCAUUUAGUUGGGCACUUUAAGGUGACUGCCGGUGACAAACCGGAGGAAGGUGGGGAAGACGUCAAAUCAUCAUGCCCCUUAUGACCUGGGCUACACACGUGGUACAAUGGACGGUACAAAGAGCUGCAAGACCGCGAGGGGGAGCUAAUUUCAUAAAACCGUUUUCAGUUUGGAUUGUAGGCUGCAACUUGCCUACAUGAAGCUGGAAUCGCUUGUAAUCGCGGAUCAGCAUGCCGCGGGGAAUACGUUCCCCUGCCUUGGCACCCCCCCCGUCACCC
rnacentral:rRNA from 1 species